rnacentral:sRNA from 1 species
UUUUAGCCCCGAUGGAAGCGAUAUCCUUUUUUGAGUCGAUUUUUUUCGCCUCAAAAAAGAUAAAGCUGAGAGCGGGAUUAGCU